rnacentral:tRNA from 1 species
GGAGAUGUAGUUCAGUGGUAGAACACUUGCCUAGCAUGUGCAAGAUCCUAAGUUCAAUUCGCAGUAACUUCA